rnacentral:rRNA from 1 species
GUAGGUGGCAAGCGUUGUCCGGAAUUAUUGGGCGUAAAGCGCGCGCAGGCGGGGGUUUUUAAGUCUGAUGUGAAAGCCCACGGGCUCAACCGUGGAGGGUCAUUGGAAACUGGGGAACUUGAGUACAGAAGAGGAAAGCGGAAUUCCACGUGUAGCGGUGAAAUGCGUAGAGAUGUGGAGGAACACCAGUGGCGAAGGCGGCUUUCUGGUCUGUAACUGACGCUGAGGCGCGAAAGCGUGGGGAGCAAACAGGAUUAGAUACCCUGGUAGUCCACGCCGUAAACGAUGAGUGCUAAGUGUUAGGGGGUUUCCGCCCCUUAGUGCUGCAGCUAACGCAUUAAGCACUCCGCCUGGGGAGUACGGCCGCAAAGGCUG